rnacentral:rRNA from 1 species
UACGGAGGAUGCGAGCGUUAUCCGGAUUUAUUGGGUUUAAAGGGUGCGUAGGCGGGCCUUUAAGUCAGCGGUAAAAAUUCGGGGCUCAACCCCGUCCGGCCGUUGAAACUGGGGGCCUUGAGUGGGCGAGAAGAAGGCGGAAUGCGUGGUGUAGCGGUGAAAUGCAUAGAUAUCACGCAGAACCCCGAUUGCGAAGGCAGCCUUCCGGCGCCCUACUGACGCUGAGGCACGAAAGUGCGGGGAUCGAACAGG